rnacentral:rRNA from 1 species
GACGAACGCUGGCGGCGUGCUUAACACAUGCAAGUCGAACGGAAAGGCCCUGCUUUUGUGGGGUGCUCGAGUGGCGAACGGGUGAGUAACACGUGAGUAACCUGCUCUUGACUUUGGGAUAACUUCAGGAAACUGGGGCUAAUACCGGAUAGGAGCUCCUGCUGCAUGGUGGGGGUUGGAAAGUUUCGGCGGUUGGGGAUGGACUCGCGGCUUAUCAGCUUGUUGGUGGGGUAGUGGCUUACCAAGGCUUUGACGGGUAGCCGGCCUGAGAGGGUGACCGGCCACAUUGGGACUGAGAUACGGCCCAGACCCCUACGGGAGGCAGCAGUGGGGAAUAUUGCACAAUGGGCGGAAGCCUGAUGCAGCAACGCCGCGUGCGGGAUGACGGCCUUCGGGUUGUAAACCGCUUUCGCCUGUGACGAAGCGUGAGUGACGGUAAUGGGUAAAGAAGCACCGGCUAACUACGUG